ACCUGGCUGGUUCAGUAGGUGGAGCAUGUGACUCUUGAUCUCAGAAUCGUGAGUGUGAGCCUCACGUUGGGCA
rnacentral:tRNA from 1 species